rnacentral:rRNA from 1 species
GAUGAACGCUGGCGGCGUGCCUAAUACAUGCAAGUCGAGCGAACGGACGAGAAGCUUGCUUCUCUGAUGUUAGCGGCGGACGGGUGAGUAACACGUGGAUAACCUACCUAUAAGACUGGGAUAACUUCGGGAAACCGGAGCUAAUACCGGAUAAUAUUUUGAACCGCAUGGUUCAAAAGUGAAAGACGGUCUUGCUGUCACUUAUAGAUGGAUCCGCGCUGCAUUAGCUAGUUGGUAGGGUAACGGCUUACCACGGCAACGAUGCAUAGCCGACCUGAUAGGGUGAUAGGCCACACUGGAACUGAGACACGGUCCAGAGUCCUACGGGAGGCAGCAGUAGGGAAUCUUCCGCAAUGGGCGAAAGCCUGACGGAGCAACGCCGCGUGAGUGAUGAAGGUCCUCGGAUCGUAAAACUCUGUUAUUAGGGAAGAACAUAUGUGUAAGUAACUGUGCACAUCGUGACGGUACCUAAUCAGAAAGCCACGGCUAACUACGUG